GCUACUUCCGGUCAUGCGGAAUACCAUUCACGGUGAAUGGCAAUAGCACAGAUGAUUUGCACAAGGCGGUAUUAUGUACCUCUGUGUACCAACAGCAGAUAACAACAACCAUAUUUGAGCUUUCAUAAUUUUCCCCGCAAUGUGGACCGUAGAAGAAAAUGGAUUCAAGCCAUCAGGAGAGAGGAAGGCCCACUGUUUAACGUCUCUAAUAGUCGUUUCUAGUAUGCAUUUCCAUAGCAGUGACCUGUACAAAACACCUAGUGGUUUUAACAAACCAGAGUUAAACAAGACGCGGUACCUUUUGUUUUUUCAUGGGUCUCUGACACAACCCAAGCCAGGAAGUCUGUUUUUGAGAGGACAACUGAGAGACUGGGGUUUGAUGUUAAUGAAGUCCAACAACCUUGUGGAAAUGAAGAUGUUGAUGUUGCUAGCUUAGCUACGGACCACGACUACGACGCACGACCAUCCCCUGGUGCAUAGGAUGCAGCUCACACGAGGAUAGUGGAACUGGAGGUGCUGGUGUUGUCACAACUUCAAUGAAGGACUCGUCUCACCAAAUCCUCUCCUCUACACGGAAAUGUCUGACUUGGUGUCAGUGACUG